UACGAAGGGGGCUAGCGUUGUUCGGAAUUACUGGGCGUAAAGCGCGUGUAGUCGGGCCGUUAAGUCGGGGGUGAAAGCCCAGAUCUCAACUCUGGAACUGCCUCCGAGACUGGCGGCCUGGACCCAAGGAGAGGCGAGUGGAAUUGCGAGUGUAGAGGUGAAAUUCGUAGAUAUUCGCAGGAACACCAGUGGCGAAGGCGUCUCGCUGGACUUGUGGUGACGCUGAGACGCGAAAGCGUGGGGAGCAAACAGG
rnacentral:rRNA from 1 species